rnacentral:rRNA from 1 species
UUUAGAGGAAGUAAAAGUCGUAACAAGGUUUCCGUAGGUGAACCUGCGGAAGGAUCAUUAAUGAAUUAAAGUCGGUCUUCUGUGCUGGUGGUGACACAUGUGCACGUUGAUCGCAAAUCCACACACCUGUGCACCUUUGACUUUAGGAUCCGCUUGUUGGCUUGUCUGACUUGCAGCUGAUGUUGGUUUUGUGCUCAUCUGGAUCUUAGAGUAAUUUUACACACUCUGAAUGUAAUGGAAUGUUCCUGUGCAUAAUGCGCAAAAUACAACUUUCAACAACGGAUCUCUUGGCUCUCGCAUCGAUGAAGAACGCAGCGAAAUGUGAUAAGUAAUGUGAAUUGCAGAAUUCAGUGAAUCAUCGAAUCUUUGAACGCACCUUGCACCCUUUGGUAUUCCAAAGGGUACACCCGUUUGAGUGUCAUUGUAAUCUCACUUCAUCAGCUUUUGUUGAUGGAGGUGGACUUGGACUCUGUUGUGUCAUUACAACUGGUCUGAAAUGUGUGAGUGCACCCUGCUGUUGCAGCGUCCUCAGUGUGAUAAGCAUCUUCACUGAAUCAAGUUCCUUUGGGACACGUGUGUAAUGUGGGCUCUGUGCUGGCAAACUGUCUUUGGACAAUCUUGACAAUUUGACCUCAGAUCGAGUGGGACUACCCGCUGAACUUAAGCAUAUCAAUAAGCGGAGGAAAAGAAACUAACAAGGAUUCCCCUAGUAACGGCGAGUGAAGAGGGAAAAGCUCAAAUUUUGAAUCUGGUGCCUUUGGCAUCCGAGUUGUAAUCUAGAGAAGUGUUUUCUGCCUUGGACCACACAUAAAUUCCCUGGAAUGGGGUGUCAUAGAGGGUGAGAAUCCCGUUUGUGGUGUGGACUACCUUGGCUCUGUGAUACACUCUCAACGAGUCGAGUUGUUUGGGAAUGCAGCUCAAAAUGGGUGGUAAAUUCCAUCUAAAGCUAAAUAUUGGCGAGAGACCGAUAGCGAACAAGUACCGUGAGGGAAAGAUGAAAAGCACUUUGGAAAGAGAGUGAAACAGUACGUGAAAUUGUUGAAAGGGAAGCGUUUGAAGUCAGUCACAUUGGUCAGAAUUCAGCCUGGCUUAUGCCUGGUGUACUUUCUGGCAAAUGGGUCAGCGUCAAUUUUGACCGAGGGAGAAAGACUUGAGGAAGGUGGCUGUCUUUGGGCAGUGUUAUAGCCUCUUGUUGUAAUGCUCGGUUGGGAUUGAGGAUCGCAGCACGCCUUAUGGCCGGGGUUCGCGCCCUCGGUACGUGCUUAGGACGCUGGCAUAAUGGCUUUAAGCGACCCGUCUUG